ensembl:piRNA 21ur-3004 ncRNA
UAGUACCGUGAUUUGAUUUGG